GGCUUGUAUACAAAAUGGUACACACGGAUUUAUACUUCAUGUAAUACACUUUUAUAAGUAUAUAUAUUAAUGCUGGCCUAUUGCAAAUCCGUGUACACCGGUUCGAUUCCGGUACCCGCCUCCA
rnacentral:tRNA from 1 species